rnacentral:snRNA from 1 species
AUUGCUUCUCAGCCAUUUAGCUAAGAUCAAAUGUAGUAUCUGUUCUUAUCAGCUUACAGUGUAAAUGAGAAGACUAUGUCUUAUUGUAAUAAAUUACUAGACUUCUA